rnacentral:tRNA from 1 species
GAGGGUGUAGCUCAAAGUGGUAGAGCACACGCUUCGCAUGCACGAGGUUCUGGGUUCAAUUCCCAGGACCUCCU